AACUUUGUCUAGAUUGCAUAACUGGUGUGGUCUCCUUUGAUUGUUAAGUUAGAUUCCCAUGGUCUUAAAAAGAGAAGUUGCAGAUUAGAGGGUGAAAGGGGAUAGUGAAUAAAUGUCAACUGUGAGAGUUUAAAGCUUAUCUACCCUACCUACUCUAUAAGCAAGAUCUACUUGGAGAACUGAGCUGAGGGAGGUUCAACCCAAGUUGAAUGUUGCUAUGUGGACAAAUGAGACCACAAGGACUUCCCCUCUAAUGAUUACAAUGUUGAGCAUGUGCUAAGAUCAGAAGGGCACAACUGAUUACUAACCAAGACUUGACUGUGCACCAUUUUAGAUGUCAUAAUUGUCAAUGUGCUGACUAAGCAUCAACAUAGGUGAUUAAUAUGGAACCAUUUGAAUGGCCUAUAUUUUGCCCCCAGUAGUGGAGAUGGCUUGCAAGCUUGGAGCUUCAAUUUGGCUGAGCAUGCAUUUUAAUGGUUUAUUUUCAAGUAUCUAGUAUAUUUUGAUUUGUAAAUACAAUAUCAUUUUUAGCUUGGCUGAUGUGUUUCUAGAUUCAUGCUUGUUUGCCACACAUGACUAAUACCGAUGCAUAAUAAUGAACAGUUGAACACAUUUAUGUUGAUGUGGCUAGACAACAGAUUAGUCAUACCAACCAUUCUGUGCCAUGCUGACCAUUCUGUGCUUGCAUUGCCAAUAAUGCAAUAUAUAUUAGUUUACUCGUAUCUCUGAAGAACUUGGAUAAUAGAUCCAUAAUACCGUGAUAUGAGCCAGCAACUUCUACAAGCCUAUUUACCCAAAUGUAAAACUGGCUUUCCAAAAAUUAAUGUUGCUAUGUGGUGACAAUUAUCCAAAACAACUUGCCAAUAAAAUAUCCUAACAUAGUUUUUCAUUAACCCAUUUAAGCCAAUCUAAUCCAACUUAAGUUUGGUUACAGGAAAUAAGAUCAAUUAACUAGUGAGGUCAUUAUCUAAGAUUAAGUCUUUGCUCAUUCUUCUUGAUAAGAUUGUUGUAGUUAAUGGGUUGGCAUGGGCAAAUUAGUUCACAUGCUAGCUUGUCGGCCAACUUGCCAGUGAGUUUUGCCUUUUCACCGGUGCUGGACUUUUCUUACUUUUCCCAUAACAAAACUUUCUUGAUGAUCUGGACACCAUAUAUGGUUGGAGGUUAUAGGAUAUACAGAUCAAAAUGGUACAUUCUAGACAAGAUCUGUGACUCAUCGCAAACUUCUUACUCCUGUUAUGGUUUAUUUAUAUAAAGUAAAUUACUAUUUUAUGAAUGUAGAUUCAUAAAACAGUCCUCUAUAUGAAAUGAAUUUCGGAAGAGUUGAUUUUCACUAGAAGUGGAGAUCCUGAUAUGAGGAAUUUUCAUUGCAUUUAUAAUUUUUUUUAAUCUUUUCGGUAUGUGAUUUCAAAAAUAGGGUUUCUACUCCACAUCAAUAUCAGAUAAUAAACAUUAAUUUCCUUAUGGAUUGUAAUAUUAUGAGAUUUGACAUCAGUAGACAGCCAAAUUAGAAAUGAUAAUUGAAAUCCUCACUCCCAUGAUUCUGUGCUAUCACUUCUGUGAUUCAAUUAAACAACUUCAGUCUUGACAAUGCAGUUUGGACCUUUUGCUACUACUACAUUAGCAAGGGGACCAUCUUAAUAUUUUGCAUGUGACUGACUUGAUGGGAAACAAAUUAUUGUAUGAUUAGCUGCGUUUCCAAGAAUGAUGACAACCUUUUUAUGGUAGAAAAUUGUUGUCAUGUAUUUAUCUUCUAGAUGAAUAUUGCUUCUAUAGAAAAUUGCCUUUUCUACCUUUUUUUUUUAUAUAUUACAUCUAUGACUGCUGAGAUGGUAGUCCCUCCUAACUGUCAACUGACUCAGCUCUACUUGAUCCCUUCUUGCCUAAAUUUGUCUGAUUUAGGACAGCUUAGAGGUUGAUAUUCAGGUCAAAAUCCAGGGUGCAAGGCUUUUUUCGAUUAUAUAUAUAACCUUGUAAUGUUUUAUCAGUCUCGUUACUCUUUUUCUGAUUGCUAUUCUGGGAGUUCUGAUAAAGGUGGUUGAAAUAAAUGGGUAUGGUAUAAUCCUUAAAGUGCAGAAAUUUUUAUUUGCUGAUUAGGUUGGUGUAAAUCAUGUUUCUAGAUAUGCAAUCAUCCAAUUCAAUGACUUGGUUGUCACUAGUUCUUUAGAUAGUACAAACCAUUUGUCAUUUGGCAUCACAUAGUUUUGAGAUUUCCUUACAUAGUAAAUCCAUUUUGCAAGUCUAGUUUUGACAUUUUAUUUACAUUAGUAAAUCCAUUUUGCAAGAAAGAUCUAAAUAAGAAGUUUAGACAGGCAUAGAUGCAAGAUUAUCAUAAAAUAACAACACCAGUAAAAUUUAGGUAGAGUACAUCAACAAGUUUUAUAAUGCUUGCAGUCUACUAGUACUUAAGAAAACAGAGAGUUAACCGCAGCCCAAUAGAUGUUUCUUGACAGUUUGAACCUUCUGAUGAAAACUAUCUUUAUGAAACAUUUAUUACCGAUAAUUUGUUUGGUGAAAAAUUUAGGAAUCGACCUUGAUGUUAUUGCUUGCUUAGGUGACAUCAAACGAUGUUGAGCAUUCUAUAUCUUUAUGCUGGAGUGCUUGGUUUUGUGAAUGAUUCAUCUCCAUUACGGAUCACAUAAGUGUGAAAAUUGGUUGAUUAUUCGGAAAUUUUAAAGAAACAAGAAUGAAAAAUGAAAGAUGAUAGCUAAAAAGUUCAAGAGUUAUUGAUGGUAGGCUACUGAACUGCCGUUAUGGUACUAAACAAAUUUUAAUUUGGUUUUGGAACCAUUCUCAGGUGCAUGUUACACUUUAUUUAAAAAAUAUAUAUGCUUCUCAAGGAAUAGUGUCUAGCUUGGUUCUUUCAUGUACUUGACACGUGCACUCCGUUUUAAUGAUAUUUUUUUAGUUUGAUCAUGGUACAUCAACAAGAGCUAGAUACAAUUCUAUACUGAUGUUGUUUUAAUGUAGUAAUACUUUUCUUUUCUCAGUUCCAAAUAUCUGCCUUUUUUGGUGUUUCAAUGGUUCUUCACAGUUCUCAUGACAGUGUUAAUGCUUUCUGAGCAAGAUCCUCGUCCAGGACUCUGGAAUUGCCAGAGUAAAUUCCCUCUUUAUGAGUUCUUUUGCAUCAUAAUCUCAAUAUUUGAGAACUUUGAGGCAUGGAAGUGUACUAAACCCUGCUUUUCUCUAAAAAAAAAAGAUGUUCAUCAAGGAAAACUGGGCUUGUUGAGGCAUGGAAGUGUACCAAACCCUGCUUUUCUCUAUAAAAAAGAUGUUCAUCGAGGAAAACUGGGCUUGUUCACCUCUGAUGCCUCGCUGCCUACCAUUUUAUACGGGAGUUACAUUCUGAAAUAUUCUGAGAUGUAUGUGGAAAUCAAUGAGAAAGGAAGAGGAGGGUUGUGAAAGAGGCAUCUUUGCAGGAUAAAGAGAGAAACAGAAACAUUGAUUUAAAAAUGACUACUUCGAUGGAAGCAGAACCUGCAAGGCUCCUGCAAGAUUUUGGGGUGGAAAAGAGAUGUCUGCUGUCAUCAGGAAUGAGCAGGCCUGCAGAUAAACCCUAAGCAAGAUCUUUCAAAUGGCUCACAAAACCCAAGUAAGGCAAUUCUAUAGUGCCAAUUAUGCAUGUGCUAGCUGUCUGUACAAUACACCAUAAGUUCUUGAUUGUCUAUAUGAGCAAGUUGCGGUAUGGUUCAAUCUUUUUUGGUGGCAAUUCCCAAGU